rnacentral:tRNA from 3 species
GGGUCGUUAGCUCAGUUGGUAGAGCAGUUGACUUUUAAUCAAUUGGUCGCAGGUUCGAAUCCUGCACGACCCG